rnacentral:rRNA from 1 species
AACCUGCCCAAGAGAUCGGGAUAACACCUGGAAACAGACGCUAAUACCGGAUAACAACAGAUGAUGCCUAUCAACUGUUUAAAAGAUGGUUCUGCUAUCACUCUUGGAUGGACCUGCGGUGCAUUAGCUAGUUGGUAGGGUAACGGCCUACCAAGGCGAUGAUGCAUAGCCGAGUUGAGAGACUGAUCGGCCACAUUGGGACUGAGACACGGCCCGAACUCCUACGGGAGGCAGCAGGC